CCAUCCUGACGGUUCUCAGUACCAAAAAUUUACGCAAUAUGUGACGUCAGCGGGAACGAGACUCGAGUAAAAAGUGAAUGACAGAGCAUGACAAAAACAUCCCUACACGAAUAUGGAGUUGGUACUAUUUGGAUGGAGGUGUGAACAUGCAUGAUGACAUGCCUGUUGGCUGUAUAAAAGUCAAAAGAAGAGAAGAAAAGAUCCUUCCAUAUUUUUCCAGAGUGUCUUUCCGCCAUUAAUAGCAGGUUCAUAAUUGAAGAACUUUAAGUUUGCACAUGCAGAUUUGCAAAGACUCUAUGGAAAAGAUUUUAACAGCAUGACAACCAACAACAUUCCGGAAGAAUUCAUGGAUACAGUGAUUGAUGAAGAAACAAGCCUUUUCGAGAAGUGGAAGAAGAAGAAAUUUGAAUUAUGUUCUUAUCUAAAUAAAGAAGAUUUUCCUAAGAAGAUUAUUGUCAUUGUUUUCUGUUAAUGUUAAUUCUGUAUAAAGCAAAUUAAUUAGGAUUUCAGUUUUCUUUUCAAAAUAUAACAGAUUAUAUUCUCAAAUUUAGAUAAAAAGAGAUCAAGAUUUCAAGAUUAUUGAAUUAAGCUGCAUAGUAUUUUGUAUGAAAAUUGCAUGAUAUUUGCAUGAUAUUCGCAUGAAACAACAGUGAAACAUAAGAUGUACAUUUUCGCAUGAAUAUCGUGCGAAAUUUUUAUCAUAUGAUAUUCGCAUGAAAAUUAUGUCAAAAUCCCAUGAGGUUUUUGCAUGAAAUUCAUGCGUGUUACUUUUCGUCUCUUACUCAUGCGAAGAAUUCGCAUGAACUUCAUGCGAAUUUCAUAUGAGAUUCAUGCGAGCCA